CCUGCCACACCUCCUCAUCAGCACUGAUUCCCCACACCUGUGAGUGACAAGCUGCAGCUCCUCACUGCUGAUUAGCCAGCCAGCAUUUAAGUCACUCUGUGUCCCUCAGUCAGUGCCAGAUUGUCUUCGCAGCAUGCACGACUCUCCAGCAUUACUUCUUGGAUUGACUUCUCGGUUUCGACUCCUGCCUGUCCCUGACCACGUCUUAUCGUCUCAGCCCUUGGAUCCCCUGUCAAGUUUCUUCGCUCCGGUGAGAACUUCAGGUUUUGCUGUGUUGCUGGCUUCCUGACCUACUGCCUGUCCACGACUAUCCUUCCGUCUGAUCCCUCUGGAAUUAGUCUGCCCCGCUGAUUGUCUGCCUGGAUUCGACAUUGCCUCCACCUCGACCACGAGCUCAGCCUGCCCAUCGACAGUGCCGCUGCACUUCACAAAG
rnacentral:lncRNA from 1 species